AAUAGAUACCCUGGUAGUCCACGCUGUAAACGUUGGGCGCUAGGUGUGGGGGGCCUCUCCGGUUCCCUGUGCCGCAGCUAACGCAUUAAGCGCCCCGCCUGGGGAGUACGGCCGCAAGGCUAAAACUCAAAGGAAUUGACGGGGGGCCCGCACAAGCGGCGGAGCAUGCGGAUUAAUUCGAUGCAACGCGAAGAACCUUACCUGGGUUUGACAUGGCCGCAAAACUGUCAGAGAUGGCAGGUCCUUCGGGGCGGUCGACAGGUGGUGCAUGGCUGUCGUCAGCUCGUGUCGUGAGAUGUUGGGUUAAGUCCUGCAACGAGCGCAACCCUCGUUCGAUGUUGCCAGCGCGUUAUGGCGGGGACGUCAUCGAAGACUGCCGGGGUCAACUCGGAGGAAGGUGGGGAUGACGUCAAGUCAUCAUGCCCCUUAUGUCCAGGGCUUCACGCAUGCUACAAUGGCCGGUACAAUGGGCUGCGAUACCGUGAGGUGGAGCGAAUCCCAAAAAGCCGGUCUCAGUUCGGAUCGGGGU
rnacentral:rRNA from 1 species